ensembl:snoRNA SNORD18 Small nucleolar RNA SNORD18
UUGCAGUGAUGAGCUUCUACUUCGGUCCGUGUUGUUGAAACUCUGUGAUAAUAACAGAAGUUCUGAGCCU